rnacentral:rRNA from 1 species
AUUGGUGGCUAUAGCAGGGUGGUUCACCUCUUCCCAUUCCGAACAGAGAAGUUAAGCACCCUAGCGCCGAUGGUACUGCCAGUAGGUGGGAGAGUAGGUCGCUGCCAAUU